GAGAAAUAAGUUGUAUGCAGGGCCGGCUGAAGACCAGGGGCAAGCAGUGCACCCGCCCAGGGCCCAUUACUGGAGGGGGCCCAUAUUUUUUUUUUUUUUUUGAAUGUACUAGUAUAGGUUUUUUUUUUUUUUAACUAUAAACCUAAAGUUUUUUGUAAAACGAAAUUAAUAAAUACGAAAUUUAUAAAUCUAAAUUUAUGGAAACAAUAUCUUAUUUAUGUUAAUCUGUAUAAUUUUUUACCAAAUUAUAAUUAACUAGUAAAAUAUUAUAAUUAAUAGUUACCGUUAAUGGGAGUUUAUUUAGGGAUAUGAGUAUAUUCACUAAAGCGUCUUCUUCUCUUCUGAAAAGACUGUUCAUAUUUCCCCUGCAUAUUUGAUAUUUCCAGCGACGAUCAGUUCUGGUGAGUGGUGAGACGAUACAAGUUUAAAAGAUUUCAAGACCGCUGGUUCUUCCUGGAUUCUUCACUUUCUCUUUCAGCUUCAUCCAGGCUUCAUCAAUUCAGUUUUUGCUUCUAAAAUCCAGGUGUACUUUUCCUUUUACUUAACUUUUUGCUUGCAUCAUGAAUGGAACUAAUUCUGGAUGUCAAAAGAGGAAGAAAAAAAGACUUCGUGAAUUGUUUAUUGAAUCACAAAGAGGUUCUUUAGAUAAAUUUGUGAUAAAAAAAAAUGCUGAUGAAAAUUUGAAAUCUGAUUGUGUGGAUAAUAUUCAUGAAUCAAAUGAUCAUUUUGGUGAUGGGAAUAGUCGUUUAAGUGAGCAUGAUAAUGUGAUAAAUGCAUCUACUGUUGAAAGUCCAAAUUUUUGUGAAGAACCAAGUUCUUAUCUUGAUGUUUAUGAUCCUAGGUCUUGGGAAAAUCUUGACAACAAAAUGAGAGAUGUGCUAAUUGAAAAAGGGCCUAAAAGAGAAAUGAAUCUUGUGUUUCCUUUAGAUAAGUAUUCUAGACAUUUCUCAUAUAGUUAUUAUUCUCGAAAGUUGAGUAAUGGAGAAACUAGUGAUAGAAAUUGGUUGGUUUAUUCAAAACAUGUGGACAAAGUCUAUUGCUUUUGUUGCAAAUUGUUUAAAUCCAUUGGCUGCUCAAAUAUGCUAGCAAAAGAUGGAUUUAAAGAUUGGAAGCAUCUUAGUGAGAGGCUUAAAGAUCAUGAGAGAAGUAUAGAACACAUGAUUAAUAUGAAAACUUGGAAUGAACUAAAAAUUAGAUUAGAAAAAGAUCUAACAAUUGAUAAAGAACUCCAAAAAGAAAUUGCUAGAGAAAAAGAACGUUGGAGGCUGGUCUUAACUAGAAUAAUUGCUAUUGUGAAAUUUCUUUCUAAAAGGUGCUUAGCUUUUAGAGGAAAAAAUGAGAAACUUUACCAAGAUAGCAAUGGUAAUUUCUUAGGAGCUAUUGAAAUGAUUGCAGAAUUUGAUUUGAUAAUCCAAGAUCAUAUCAGGCGCAUUCAAAAUCAUGAAAUUCAUCAUCAUUAUCUUGGCCAUAAUAUUCAGAAUGAGUUUAUUUCUCUUUUGGCUCAUAAUGUUCAGUUUUCCAUUGUUGCUAAUAUCAAAGAGGCAAAAUACUUUUCAGUGAUUCUUGAUUGUACACCAGAUGUGAGCCACCAAGAGCAAAUGACUCUAAUAAUAAGAUGUGUGAACAUGUCUGAUAAAAAAGUUAGAGUAGAAGAGUAUUUUUUAGAGUUUCUAAAGGUAGAUGACACAUCUGGUCUAGGGCUCUUUGAAAAAUUAUUAGAUGUUCUAAAGUCUCUUACUCUUGAUGUUGAUAAUGUGAGGGGUCAAAGUUAUGACAAUGGUUCUAAUAUGAAAGGAAAACAUCAAGGUGUUCAAAGACGAUUGCUUGAUAUAAACUCAAAAGCUUUGUAUAUGCCAUGUGCUUGUCAUAGUCUUAAUCUUGUGGUUAGUGAUAUGGCUCAUUCAUGUUUGAAAGCUAUUUCUUUCUUUGGAGUUGUGCAACGCAUAUAUACUUUGUUUUCUAGUUCUACAAAGAGAUGGAAGAUUUUGCUUGACCAUGUUCCUUUUUUUACAGUGAAAUCAUUAUCCAAUACUCGUUGGGAAAGCCGGAUUAAUAGCGUGAAAGCUAUCAGAUUUCAAGCUUUACAAGUAAGGUCAGCUUUAUUAGAAUUGUAUGAAUCAUGUGAAGAUGCUAUGACAAAAAGUGAUGCUGAAAGUUUAAUUAUGGCAUUUGAUAAUUUUGAAUUUUUACUUGGCAUGGUCAUUUGGUAUGAAAUUUUGUUUGCUAUUAACUCGGCCAGUAAGAACUUACAGUCUAAAUCUAUGUGCAUUGACAAUGCUUUAAAACAACUUGAAGGUGUUCUGCUGUUUUUUGAGAAAUAUAGAAAUGAAGGGUUUAAUUCUAGCUUGAAAAUAGCUCAAAAUAUUGCUCAUGAGAUGGAUGUUGAUCCUGUUUUUCCAAAUAAGCGUCGUGUCUUUAGGAAAAAGCAGUUUGAUGAAACUGAUUCAGGUGAACAAGUACAAUUAUCAGGUGAGGAUGCUUUUAGAGUUGACUAUUUUUUAGUUGUUGUGGACAUGGCAACAACUUCGGUGAAGAACAGGUUUGAUCAAAUGAUGAAUUUUAAAAGUGUUUUUGGGUUUUUAUUUGAUUCUUUGAGACUAAAAGUGUUAGAUGAAAGUGAACUUCGAAGUCAUUGCACAAACUUUUACAAUACCUUUUCUAAUGGUGAUUCUUCUGAUGUUGAUUUGAAUGAUCUUUUUUCUGAAUUGAGAAUGCUGCAAACGACUUUACCCGAUGUAUCUAUAGAACCUAGUGAAGUUCUAGAGUUUGUUGAAAGUGUAGGCUGUUAUCCAAAUGUUUCAAUUGCUUAUAGAAUUCUUUUGACUACACCUGUGUCGGUAGCCUCAGCAGAGAGAAGCUUUUCAAAAUUAAAGUUGUUGAAAAAUUAUUUAAGAUCUUCAAUGUCUCAAGAAAGAUUGAAUGGUUUAGCUAUUUUAUGUAUUGAAAAGAACAUCUUAGAAAGCAUUGAUUUUGAAACUGUUAUACAUGAUUUUGCAUCAAGUAAAGCUCGAAAAAACCGUUUCUUAUGAUUGCAUUUCUUUUUAGGAUGACUACUGUUUUUUUUUUCAGAUUUGCAGGAAGAUGUUAUACUGUGAUGGUUUUUGUUGAAACAAAUGAUUUCAUUCUCAAGAAAAUGAAGCUAUAGGAAGAGCAAGAGUUUUUUAUUUUAUUUUUAUGGGCCUGUAAAAUGUUUGA